rnacentral:rRNA from 1 species
GACGAACGCUGGCGGCGUGCCUAAUACAUGCAAGUCGAACGAGAGCGACCGGUGCUUGCACUGGUCAAUCUAGUGGCGCACGGGUGAGUAACACGUGGGUAACCUGCUCAUCAGAGGGGGAUAACAUCCGGAAACGGAUGCUAAAACCGCAUAGGUCUUCGAGCCGCAUGGCUUGAAGAGGAAAAGAGGCGCAAGCUUCUGCUGAUGGAUGGACCCGCGGUGCAUUAGCUAGUUGGUGAGGUAACGGCUCACCAAGGCCGUGAUGCAUAGCCGACCUGAGAGGGUGAUCGGCCACAUUGGGACUGAGACACGGCCCAAACUCCUACGGGAGGCAGCAGUAGGGAAUCUUCCGCAAUGGACGCAAGUCUGACGGAGCAACGCCGCGUGAGUGAAGAAGGUUUUCGGAUCGUAAAACUCUGUUGUUAGAGAAGAACAAGUGCUAGAGUAACUGUUAGCGCCUUGACGGUAUCUAACCAGAAAGCCACGGCUAACUACGUG